rnacentral:rRNA from 1 species
AGCAGCCGCGGUAAUUCCAGCUCCAAUAGCGUAUAUUAAAGUUGCUGCAGUUAAAAAGCUCGUAGUUGAAUUUCGGGACCAUCAUGUCGGUCGUGCCUCGGUACGUACUGGCAUUGUUGGUUUCUACCUUCUGACGAACCAUGAUGUCAUUAAUUUGGUGUCUUGGGGAAUCAGGACUGUUACUUUGAAAAAAUUAGAGUGUUUAAAGCAGGCUCGCGCUUGAAUACAUUAGCAUGGAAUAAUGAAAUAGGACGUUUGAUUCUAUUUUGUUGGUUUCUAGGAUCGACGUAAUGAUUAAUAGGGAUAGUUGGGGGCAUUAGUAUUCAAUUGUCAGAGGUGAAAUUCUUGGAUUUAUUGAAGACUAACUACUGCGGAAGCAUUUGCCAAGGAUGUUUUCAUUAAUCAAGAACGAAAGUUAGGGGAUCGAAGACGAUCAGAUACCGUCGUAGUCUUAACCAUAAACUAUGCCGACUAG